rnacentral:rRNA from 1 species
CGCUGGCGGCGUGCUUCAUACAUGCAAGUCGAACGAGAAGCUAGAGCUUGCUCUAGUGGAAAGUGGCGGACGGGUGAGUAAUAUGUAGGAAAUCUGCCCUAGAGAGGGGGACAACAGAAGGAAACUUCUGCUAAUACCCCAUAUGAGCUUGGUUGAAAUACCAAUCUUGAAAACUCCGGUGCUCUAGGAUGAGCCUGCACCUGAUUAGCUAGUUGGUGAGGUAACGGCCCACCAAGGCGACGAUUGGUAGCCGGACUGAGAGGUUGAACGGCCACAUUGGGACUGAGACACGGCCCAGACUCCUACGGGAGGCAGCAGUGGGGGAUAUUGCACAAUGGGGGAAACCCUGAUGCAGCGACGCCGCGUGGAGGAAGAAGGUUUUCGGAUUGUAAACUCCUGUCGUUAGGGACGAUAAUGACGGUACCUAACAAGAAAGCACCGGCUAACUACGUG